GCGCCCAUCGUCUAGCGGUUAGGACGCCGCCCUUUCACGGCGGUAACACGGGUUCGAGUCCCGUUGGGCGUGCCA
rnacentral:tRNA from 6 species